AGUGAACGCUGGCGGCAGGCCUAACACAUGCAAGUCGAACGGAAGCACAGUAAGAUUUUGCUCUUACGGGUGGCGGGUGGCGGACGGGUGAGGAGUACAUCGGAAUCUACUUUUUCGUGGGGGAUAACGUAGGGAAACUUACGCUAAUAUCGCAUACGAUCUACGGGUGAAAGCAGGGGAUAUUUGGACCUUGCGCGAUUGAAUGAGCCGAUGUCGGAUUAGCUAGUUGGGGGGGUAAUGGCCCACCAAGGCGACGAUCCGUAGCUGGACUGAGAGGAUGGUCGGCCACACUGGAACUGAGACACGGUCCAGACUCCUACGGGAGGCAGCAGUGGGGAAUAUUGGGCAAUGGGCGCAAGCCUGAUCCAGCCAUACCGCGUGUGUGAAGAAGGCCUUCGGGUUGUAAAGCCCUUUUGUUGGGUAAGAAAAGCAGUAGGUUAAUACCCCGCUGUUCUGACGGUACCCAAUGAAGAAGCACCGGCUAACUUCGUG
rnacentral:rRNA from 1 species